CCUACGGGCGGCUGCAGUGAGGAAUAUUGGUCAAUGGCCGGAAGGCUGAACCAGCCAUGCCGCGUGAAGGUCAGUGCCCUAUGGGCGUUAAACUUCUUUUGUGCGGGAGCAAUAAUGGUCACGUGUGGCCAGACGAGAGUACCGUACGAAUAAGCAUCGGCUAACUCCGGGCCAGCAGCCGCGGUAAUACGGGGGGUGCAAGCGUUAUCCCGAUUUAUUGGGUUUAAAGGGUGCGUAGGCUGUGAGGUAAGUCAGCGGUGAAAUGCCCCCGCUCAACGGGGUGAAGUGCCAUUGAUACUGCCUGGCUGGAAUGCGGAUGCCGUGGGAGGAAUGUGUGGUGUAGCGGUGAAAUGCAUAGAUAUCACACAGAACACCGAUUGCGAAGGCAUCUCACGAAUCCGCGAUUGACGCUGAUGCACGAAAGCGUGGGUAUCAAACAGGAUUAGAUACCCCGGUAGUC
rnacentral:rRNA from 1 species